rnacentral:rRNA from 1 species
AGCCCGCUCGCCGGAAGACCAAGGGUUCCUGUCCAACGUUAAUCGGGGCAGGGUGAGUCGACCCCUAAGGCGAGGCCGAAAGGCGUAGUCGAUGGGAAACAGGUUAAUAUUCCUGUACUUGGUGUUACUGCGAAGGGGGGACGGAGAAGGCUAUGUUGGCCGGGCGACGGUUGUCCCGGUUUAAGCGUGUAGGCUGGUUUUCCAGGCAAAUCCGGAAAAUCAAGGCUGAGGCGUGAUGACGAGGCACUACGGUGCUGAAGCAACAAAUGCCCUGCUUCCAGGAAAAGCCUCUAAGCAUCAGGUAACAUCAAAUCGUACCCCAAACCGACACAGGUGGUCAGGUAGAGAAUACCAAGGCGCUUGAGAGAACUCGGGUGAAGGAACUAGGCAAAAUGGUGCCGUAACUUCGGGAGAAGGCACGCUGAUAUGUAGGUGAAGCGACUUGCUCGUGGAGCUGAAAUCAGUCGAAGAUACCAGCUGGCUGCAACUGUUUAUUAAAAACACAGCACUGUGCAAACACGAAAGUGGACGUAUACGGUGUGACGCCUGCCCGGUGCCGGAAGGUUAAUUGAUGGGGUUAGCGGUAACGCGAAGCUCUUGAUCGAAGCCCCGGUAAACGGCGGCCGUAACUAUAACGGUCCUAAGGUAGCGAAAUUCCUUGUCGGGUAAGUUCCGACCUGCACGAAUGGCGUAAUGAUGGCCAGGCUGUCUCCACCCGAGACUCAGUGAAAUUGAACUCGCUGUGAAGAUGCAGUGUACCCGCGGCAAGACGGAAAGACCCCGUGAACCUUUACUAUAGCUUGACACUGAACAUUGAGCCUUGAUGUGUAGGAUAGGUGGGAGGCUUUGAAGUGUGGACGCCAGUCUGCAUGGAGCCGACCUUGAAAUACCACCCUUUAAUGUUUGAUGUUCUAACGUUGGCCCGUUAUCCGGGUUGCGGACAGUGUCUGGUGGGUAGUUUGACUGGGGCGGUCUCCUCCUAAAGAGUAACGGAGGAGCACGAAGGUUGGCUAAUCCUGGUCGGACAUCAGGAGGUUAGUGCAAUGGCAUAAGCCAGCUUGACUGCGAGCGUGACGGCGCGAGCAGGUGCGAAAGCAGGUCAUAGUGAUCCGGUGGUUCUGAAUGGAAGGGCCAUCGCUCAACGGAUAAAAGGUACUCCGGGGAUAACAGGCUGAUACCGCCCAAGAGUUCAUAUCGACGGCGGUGUUUGGCACCUCGAUGUCGGCUCAUCACAUCCUGGGGCUGAAGUAGGUCCCAAGGGUAUGGCUGUUCGCCAUUUAAAGUGGUACGCGAGCUGGGUUUAGAACGUCGUGAGACAGUUCGGUCCCUAUCUGCCGUGGGCGCUGGAGAACUGAGGGGGGCUGCUCCUAGUACGAGAGGACCGGAGUGGACGCAUCACUGGUGUUCGGGUUGUCAUGCCAAUGGCACUGCCCGGUAGCUAAAUGCGGAAGAGAUAAGUGCUGAAAGCAUCUAAGCACGAAACUUGCCCCGAGAUGAGUUCUCCCUGACUCCCUGAGAGUCCUGAAGGAACGUUGAAGACGACGACGUUGAUAGGCCGGGUGUGUAAGCGCAGCGAUGCGUUGAGCUAACCGGUACUAAUGAACCGUGAGGCUUAACC